CUUUGUUUGUAUGUGAUGCUGAGGAUCGAACCCAGGGCUGCACGCAUGCCAGUGAGCACUUUUCCUCUGCUUCACCUUUCUGUCAUAAGAUUUUUGCCUCACCUCAGGCCUUGAGUAAUCCUACCAGGAAUUGAGAUAUCUGAAACUCUAACUAUUUUUUAGAAAAAUAAAGGAUUAUGAAGCGACUCUUCCAAGUUUAAUCAUCUCAAUGAUCCCUUUUGUUUUGGGGAAGAUAAGUGUGUCCCACUGUGGGGCACAAAGGAAGACUCAUCUGCUCCUGCCUUCCUCCAGUUCCUCAGCAUCAGUCUACUAGCUCCUCUCCAGCCAAUAGGGAAGAAGCCCGUGUCUCUUCCCUGUGCUUACACAGCUGGCAUGUGUGAUGAUCAUUAUCAGAGUAGAUACCACUGUCUAUAAUGCAGCUAUGUCUUGGUACAAAAAAGGCAUCUUUUCAAAUAUUUAAAAAAAUAGGUCAAAAGGAAGCUUGAGAAUGUGGCAAAAAAUAUUUCCGUUUCUAUAUAUAUAUCAUUGUAAAGUAUUUGUCAGCUCCAUGUAGAAUGGUUGUUAAAUAUUUGUGAUAAUAUCACAUGCAAACUUUCAUAAAUGCCACCUCAUUUUUUCUCAUAAACAUUUCUGAGAUUUUAUUGGGAUACAUACAUUGUCCACAUUUAAUAGACAAGGAAAGGAGGUACAGAAAAGUUAGAUGCUUUGCUAAAAUUUGCGCAGUUAGGAAAGGAUAAAUUAAGAUCACAGUCAGGUUUUUGUCAUCUGGUAGAUGUUUAGUUCAUGUUUAUAUUGUCAGUGAAACUAGUUUACUCUCUUGAGAAUCCAAGGCAGAAGAGAAACAUUGUAUAGAGGAAAGGAAAAAAUAGUCACAUUCAAUAGCUUAACAUGUACUUUGCUUUGGGCCUUAUUCAAUAUCAUGUCAUAUAUUUUUGCAAGAUCGAUUAAACUGUACAUAUGCUUUCCAAAGAGCUUCAGAAAUUCUUGUUUGCACUCCAGUGCACAGGGCAUAUUAUUUUGCAAUACAUGGUCAUAAUGCAGCUUUUUAUGAAGGACAAAGUUAUUUCACAGUUCCAAGGCCACAUUCUUUCUUUAGAAUAGUGACUGCAGAUUGAAAAAUGCAAAGCCCUUUGCUCUUCAUAAUUAUUUUUCCUCUCAGUUAAUGGCAUAAAUCGCUUAACUUUUCUGAAACUCAAACCAUUUCUUGACCGGUGACAUAGAAGUGACUCAAAAACAUGGUAUCUGGAUGCAUAACAAUGUUCUUGUAGAUGUGCAGACUUUGAGGCACAUAGGUAGAAAUCUUUCUGCACAGGUGCAGUGGUUAAUUUUUCAGCAAAAGCCUGAACAAGGCACAUUACAUUACAAGUGGUCAGAAAAAAACAUAUUCUUAAAGAACAAAGGCAUGUUUGAUGGUGGGGCUGUGUGUAGCAAUGCUGCCAUCAGGCGUGCUUACCCACCCCUUUUUGAAACUCAUGUUAGCUACUCAGUGGAAUCCAGCUAAUUGUAUAUGUUCAAAAAAAUUUUUUUAAACUGUUUACACAAAAAUUUCCAAGUUGCAGUUGUUGGGUUUAAAAUAUAAUUUGAUAACUUUGAGAAUGCUAUGUUUGGUAGAUUUUGGCCAUCUGUGUUUCCAUAUCAUAAAUUCAUAUGUAUAUAUUUACAUAUAUACAUGAUUUAUUAUAAAUACAUAUAUACAUAUCAAGUCUUAAGAUUAUCAAAGCUUAUUUGUCAGACACUUGGAGAAUAUGUGUCAAUUCUCAACCUUGAUAAUAACAAAAUGGGUAAAAUUACCAUCAUGGGCAAAAAUGGUAUUGGCCAAAGAAUGAGAAGGGAAAUCUCCAUCCUUAGAUUUUCUUCCUGCCUUCAGGAAACCUCUGAUUUGAUUUCAAUCAAGAAUAUAACAUUCAGAAUGAAUUUAUUCCAUGUAACAAACCUCAACUUCCCCCUUCCUGUCUCUUUCACCUAAAUCUGACUAAGAAUUGGGAUAGUAUAAUUGCUUUUAAAAUGCUGUCUUCUCCUCUUACAUAUAUGAUCCUGAAAGUAAAGGGAUUUUAUCUGUAAAAGAGAUCAUUCUUGAUCAAAUGCUUCAUUUCUUUGCUUCUGAAGAUCUGAUUAAGGAUGUUUUAUUCUGGAAUUACUCAUCAGGUACUGUAUGGCAUACUCUUUUGGGGGAAAUUAAAGCUAACAACCAAAUAAUCAAAAUGUUUUUCUGGCCCUCCAAAAAUUUAUACUUAAAAAAAAACUCCCUUCUCCAUUUUUCCUUUUGUAUUUCAUGUUGAUCCUUAAAUAUUAUGACUAAAGUAUUAAGCAAGUAAAAUGAAGACAUGUAAACACAAACUUCCAGAAAUCUAUUGAUCAUAGAGUGGUAAGAUAUGCAUACUAUAGAAACAGAGUGCUGUUAGCAUUAAAUAGAAAUUUCAGUGAAAAAAGUAGCAUACUAAAAAUAAAACUCUAAUGAUCGAUCAUA